rnacentral:rRNA from 1 species
AGAGUCACUCCUACGGGAGGCAGCAGUGGGGAAUCUUGCACAAUGGGGGAAACCCUGAUGCAGCGACGCCGCGUGAGUGAUGAAGGCCUUCGGGUCGUAAAGCUCUGUCGGAGGGAACGAAUGCUUUUGAGGUUAACAGCCUCAGAAAGUGACGGUACCCUCAAAGGAAGCACCGGCUAACUACGUGCCAGCAGCCGCGGUAAUACGUAGGGCGCAAGCGUUGUUCGGAUUUACUGGGCGUAAAGGGCGCGUAGGCGGCCACCGCAAGUCGACUGUGAAAUCUCCCGGGCUUAACUCGGAAAGGUCAGCCGAUACUGCGGGGCUAGAGUGCAGAAGGGGCAACUGGAAUUCUCGGUGUAGCGGUGAAAUGCGUAGAUAUCGAGAGGAACACCUGCGGCGAAGGCAGCCCCCUGGGUCAAUACUGACGCUCAUGCACGAAAGCGUGGGGAGCAAACAGGAUUAGAUACCCUGGUAGUCCACGCCCUAAACGAUGUCAACUGGUUGUCGGGGAAGCAAUUCCUUGGUAACGAAGCUAACGCGUGAAGUUGACCGCCUGGGGAGUACGGCCGCAAGGUUAAAACUUAAAGGAAUUGACG